rnacentral:rRNA from 1 species
UACGGGGGGGGCAAGCGUUGUUCGGAAUUACUGGGCGUAAAGGGCUCGUAGGCGGCCAACUAAGUCAGACGUGAAAUCCCUCGGCUUAACCGGGGAACUGCAUCUGAUACUGGAUGGCUUGAGUUCGGGAGAGGGAUGUGGAAUUCCAGGUGUAGCGGUGAAAUGCGUAGAUAUCUGGAGGAACACCGGUGGCGAAGGCGGUUACCUGGAGCUUUGCUGACGCUGAUGCGCGAAAGCGUGGGGAGCGAUCCGG